rnacentral:sRNA from 1 species
CUUGCACGCGGUGACCGGCCACUGGGCCGAAGGCGGAGCAAGAAACAUACCGGGCGCAGGCAGAGCGCCGCGCCGG